rnacentral:rRNA from 1 species
UUAAAAAGCUCGUAGUUGGAUUUCUGUGGGGACGACGCCGCCGCUACUAGCGGUUCGAGCUAGCGCUUUCCCUACAUCCUGCCGCGAACCGCGCUACCAUUAGUUUGGAGCGCCGGGGAUCGGCUCGUUUACUUUGAGAAAAAUAAAGUGUUCAAAGCAGGCCACACGCCUUGAAUAAGUUAGCAUGGAAUAAUAACUAAGGACUUCGGUUCUAUUUUGUUGGUGUUCGGGACUGAAGUAAUGAUUGAUAGGGACAGUUGGGGCGGUCCGUAUUCCAAAGCGAGAGGUGAAAUUCUUAGACCUUCGGAAGACGAACAGCUGCGGAAGCGUUCCACAAGGAUGUUCCCUUUGAUCAAGAACGAAGGUUGGGGGAUCGAAGACGAUCAGAUACCGUCGUAGUCUCAACUAUAAAC